GUGCUUACUUUGGAAGCACAUAUACUGAAAUUGGAACAAUACUGAGAAGGUUAACAUUCCUCUGGGCAAAAAUGACAUGAAGAUUAGUGAAGUGGUCCAUAGUUUU
rnacentral:snRNA from 1 species